rnacentral:misc_RNA from 1 species
GUUGAUACCAAGGUUGGUGACUGAGCAUUUUAUACCUUCUGGAAGAUCUUUUUCUGAUAAUCAACAUGCUACUGCAGAUAAAGGGGUAAAACUUCAGGAAUCUCAAGAGUUAAGUGUCAGUGCGAGAGAAGUUGAUACCAAGGUUGGUGGAGAACUUUCUGAAGCAAAUUAUAAGCCUGAGCUGAAAGCUGCAACUUAUGCAGAGAAAGUGAAAUCUGGACUAAGUGAUCCUAUCUUAAGUAAUAAUAUCCAGUCCGAGUCUGCUUCCAGGAAGACAGAGCUUCAUUGGGGUGAUGCAUCUUCACAUGGAGCCGAGGGAAACAAAGAAGCAGAGCAACUACACUCUUUGGCUGAGAAAGAGUGUCAGGUUGGAGCAGCAGUUUCCACAGGGAUACCCUCUGGUACUGUUGGUACACUUGAGCAUGGAAGCAUUCUUUUUGACAUUAAUGACUGCUUUCCCCGUGAUUUUCUCGCUGAUAUAUUUUCCAAAGCCAAGCUUAUGGAUGCCUCACCAAUACCUGCCCCACUGUACAAUGAUGGAACUGGUUUGAGCUUGAAUAUGGAGAACCAUGAACCAAAGAACUGGUCCUUUUUCCAAAAGAUAGCUCAAGGUGAUUUUGAUAGACGAAAUGUCUCUUUGAUGGAUCAGGAUCAUCUUUGUGUGUCUUCUACUCGUGCAAAUGUUGAUGAUGGGGUGUCUAUGGAUUAUGGCUAUCCUCCUUUCAAGGGUGAUGGAGCAAUGAUAGAUCAUAUGGACUCUCAGCUCAAUAUUGAAGCUGAAUUCCAGCAAGCAUCUCCUGAAAUUGUUGUCCCAGACACCAUGGAUUUGCCUUCCGGGUACAACCCUUCUCAAACCGCUGACGUUCAAAGUAUGCAGUAUGAUGUUGAAUUGAGUUCAAAAGUACCUGAAUCGGGUUAUCAGGAUGAGAACCAAGGAGCUCAGAAUGCUGGCUUUCCGCUUACCAAUCUCCCGCUUGGAGACUUUGAUCCCAGCACUUUGCAGAUAAUCAGUAAUGAAGAUCUUGAAGAGUUAAAGGAAUUAGGAUCUGGAACAUUUGGGACCGUAUAUCAUGGAAAAUGGAGAGGGACUGAUGUUGCCAUCAAGAGAAUAAAAAAAACCUGUUUCACAGGUCGGUCAUCAGAGCAGGAGAGAUUGACUGAGUUUUGGCGUGAAGCUGAAAUUCUUUCAAAACUUCAUCAUCCCAAUGUGGUGGCAUUUUAUGGUGUAGUGAAAGAUGGGCCAGGAGGGACUCUUGCCACAGUAGCAGAGUUCAUGGUGAAUGGUUCUCUUAGACAUGUUUUACUUUGCAAGGACAGACACCUUGAUCGUCGCAAGAGGCUCAUAAUUGCAAUGGAUGCUGCAUUUGGAAUGGAAUAUUUGCACUCAAAGAAUAUUGUGCAUUUUGAUUUGAAAUGCGACAACUUGCUUGUGAACUUGAAAGAUCCCCAACGACCAAUUUGCAAGGUUGGUGAUUUUGGCCUGUCAAAAAUUAAGCGAAAUACCUUGGUUUCUGGAGGU